rnacentral:rRNA from 1 species
GUGCCAGCGCCGCGGUAAUACCGGCAGCUCGAGUGAUGGCCAAUCUUAUUGGGCCUAAAGCGUCCGUAGCUAGCCGCGCAAGUCCGUCGGGAAAUCCAUCAGCCCAACAGGUGGGCGUCCGGCGGAAACUGUGUGGCUUGGAACCGGAAGGCUCAGAGGGUACGUCCGGGGUAGGAGUGAAAUCCCAUAAUCCCGCACGGACCACCGAUGGCGAAAGCACUUCGAGAAAACGGAUCCGACAGUGAGGGACGAAAGCCAGGGUCUCCAACCGGAUUAGAUACCCGUGUAGUCC